CACGUCUUUCUAUUUGUCACUAGUUUAGUUUUUUCCUCCGGAAAACUCGGACGCGAUGGCGAGUGCAGUGGCUAGAUUAACGGUUAAAAGUGGCUCUAUAAUCGCACAGCGGUCGAGUGGUGGCGUAUCUAUUAGCAGAUCACUCAGAUUUGCCAGUGGUUCGUCGGAAUCCAUCGGAAUUCGGGGCCCCAAAACCCGUCGGCUGUUGACUUUUGUAGGCGGCAGUGCUAUUUCUUUGGCCGCCCUAGCGGCUUUCAUUAAACUCCGAUCCGCUGAAAAUCCCGUGAAUGCAGUUAGCCUUAAAAGGCGCAUGCGCGACGAUAGCGAGCUGGAAAAUGUGAAGCUAACGGCCCGGGAGCGCCGCUUCAUCAAGUUUGCAUCCGUGGAGUUCGACGAUCAGCUGUACAUGACCCCGCAGGACUUUCUAGACUCUGUUGUCGAGCAGGAACCCAGACCUCGUUUAAAACGACGUCAGCUAUCCAGCGAUGAGGUGGACAAGUACAAGGAAAACACUCCUGCUCUGAAGAAGGGUUCAACACGAUUAUUUCGCAAUCUAAGGGAUAAAGGCAUUGUAUCCUAUACGGAGUAUUUGUUUCUGCUCUCUAUUUUAACAAAGCCCAAAUCUGGAUUCCGCAUUGCCUUUAAUAUGUUCGACACGGAUGGAAAUCAACGAGUGGACAAGGACGAAUUCCUCGUGAUAAUUUCCAUUUUGGCCGGCGCUUUAAAAGACACUCAAAAUGUCGAUCCACAAACCAAGCAAAUUCUCUCGCGUUUAGUUUCCUACGAUGAGCAAACUCAAAUGAUGAAACCCAUGGCAGUGCCUAAAACAAACAGGGGUCUAAUGGAGCGCAUUUUCAGCGGCGCUUGGAAGGAGAAGCACGGCGAACAAGAGCCGGAAGAUGAGCUCGCAUCCUCCACGCCCACUCCCCUGGAGCAGGGCUAUGUCAACGAUGGCGAGGGACUGCAACGUCGUCAUGUGGUGCCGACCACCCUACAGCUUCACUUUUUCGGAAAGCGUGGCACUGGGGUUAUCAACUACGAUAACUUUUACCGCUUCAUGGACAACCUGCAGACGGAGGUGCUCGAACUGGAGUUCCACGAGUUCUCCAAGGGCAACAGCGUCAUCAGCGAACUGGACUUUGCCAAGAUCCUGCUGCGAUACACGUAUCUGGCCACGGAUGAGUACGAUGUCUUCCUGGAACGCCUGCUCGAGCGGGUUAAAGAUGAGAAGGGCAUAUCGUUCCAUGAUUUCCGGGACUUUUGCCAUUUCCUGAACAACCUGGAUGACUUCACAAUCGCCAUGCGCAUGUACACUCUGGCCGAUAGGGCUAUAUCGAAGGAUGAAUUCUCGCGUGCUGUCAAGAUCUGCACCGGCUACAAGCUGAGUCCCCACUUGAUCGACACCGUUUUUGCCAUCUUCGAUGCGGAUGGCGAUGGCCUGCUGUCCUACAAGGAAUUCAUCGCCAUCAUGAAGGAUCGCCUGCAUCGCGGCUUCAAAGUAAGUGGUCGUUUCUUUGAUUACAACGAAGCUCUGGACGCCUAUGAUGAACCGGCGUAUCCCAUAUUUGUGGCCUGGCGACAUCGGGUGUGCCGGCACCUGGAUUACUUCAUCGACAGUGAUGCGCUUUGGCACUGAUUUUAAAGUUUAAUUUAUGUAUUGUCACGUUUUGUUUGCCGCUUUUGUCCUAAUAUUGCUGAUCAGCAUUGAAUGUGUGUGUUUUUUUAGUUUUCGUCCUCUAUGUAAGCGUCUUAUGCUUUGAGCUAAAUGUUUUACCUCAUUUACUUAUAGUUUAGCUUUUAAGACUUUAACCCAACUCAAUGCCAUUUAUUUUUACUUAUUAUUAUAUUUAGUUUUAUUUUUAUUUUAAAUUGGCCAUAUAACCAUUAAACACUGAUUAUUACGCAGAAAUGGUUUUUUAUUUGUAUGUCAUUUGUUUGUCCUCGAAAACAUUCUGGAAAUGCACAGGACACUCGUUUGCACUGUUUAAAUUUAUUUUAAGUACCCAUAAAUUGUUGAUUAUUUUUAAAACCACUCAUUAUCAUUUCCGUUUCCAUCAAAUUGAUUGUCGGAGCACCGUAAUUUGUGACUCACUUCACGUCUAGCAAUGAACUGUGCAGCGAUUAAGUUGCCAGGCGAAAAGUCCAAGCUCCAGCUGAUUAGCAAUGAGUUGUAUUUUCUUUCCCUAGCUUGAUGUUGUAGACCCAGAAGAGCGUCUACGGGUCUCCGUUGAGGUAGUCGCGCCAAAAGAUGGAGAGUCCGUGGCCAAAUCGGAGGGCUGGGACGCCUUUAAAUACUGUGUGCGCAACGAGAUGAAAACCAUGAUGAAGUCGGCCAACUAAAAAGGAUUACCUUGAUAUUGCAUAAACAACGAGCAAGCAACGCCAAAGUGAAACAAAUUCUAGUUACAAAAUCUUUCUUCUAAAGAACCAAAAUCUCGUGUAUAGUCAUAGGGUUUAUAUUUGUUGAUCCCUUGAACUAUUUAUGAAUUUGUUAUUGAACUAAGCUCCCUUCUCUUAUAGCCAAAAUUCUGAGAAACUGUUUUAAAUCGGCAGUUUAGUGCCACCUUGUUAUACAUGUAUAGCGAAAUAAAAAUCGUUUUGUAAAAUUUGUAUUACA